rnacentral:rRNA from 1 species
CGGGUGAGUAACACGUAGGUAAUUUGCCUUCGGGUGGGGAAUAACAGCCGGAAACGGCUGCUAAUACCGCAUAAUGCAGCGGCUCGACAUCGAGACAGUUGUUAAAGCGGGGGAUCGCAAGACCUCGCGCCUGAAGAGAAGCCUGCGGCAGAUUAGCUAGUUGGUAGGGUAAUGGCCUACCAAGGCGACGAUCUGUAACCGGCCUGAGAGGGCGGUCGGUCACACUGACACUGACAUACGGGUCAGACUCCUACGGGAGGCAGCAGUCGGGAAUUUUGGGCAAUGGGCGAAAGCCUGACCCAGCAACGCCGCGUGAAGGAUGAAAUCCCUCGGGAUGUAAACUUCGCAAGAAUGGGAAGAAUAAGAGUGGGCUAAUACUCCACUUGAUGACGGUACCAUUUGUAAGCUCCGGCUAACUCCGUGCCAGCAGCCGCGGUAAUACGGGGGGAGCAAGCGUUGUUCGGAUUUACUGGGCGUAAAGGGCGCGUAGGCGGCCACGACAAGUCACUUGUGAAAUCCCCGGGCUUAACUCGGAACGGUCAAGUGAUACUGUCGGGCUAGAGUGCAGAAGGGGCAACUGGAAUUCUCGGUGUAGCGGUGAAAUGCGUAGAUAUCGAGAGGAAC